CUACGGGUGGCUGCAGUGAGGAAUUUUGCGCAAUGGGGGCAACCCUGAUCCAGCAAUGCCGCGUGUGUGAAGAAGGCCUGCGGGUUGUAAAGCACUUUCGGUUGGGAGGACUGCUUCUAGCACUAAUAUUGUUGGAAGUUGACGUUACCUUCAGAAGAAGCACCGGCUAACUCCGUGCCAGCAGGCCGCGGUAAUACGGAGGGUGCAAGCGUUAAUCGGAAUUACUGGGCGUAAAGCGCGCGUAGGCGGCUAGAUCAGUCGGGUGUGAAAGCCCCGGGCUUAACCUGGGAACUGCAUCCGAUACUGUCUAGCUUGAGUACAGGAGAGGAGAGUGGAAUUCCACAUGUAGCGGUGAAAUGCGUAGAUAUGUGGAGGAACACCAAUGGCGAAGGCAGCUCUCUGGCCUGAUACUGACGCUGAGGUGCGAAAGCGUGGGGAGCAAACAGGAUUAGAUACCCCCGUAGUC
rnacentral:rRNA from 1 species